rfam:Chlorocebus sabaeus isolate 1994-021 chromosome 8, whole genome shotgun sequence.
GCUGGGUGUGGUGGCACACACCUGUAAUCCCAGGUACUCGGGAGGAUGAGGCAGGAGAAUUGCUUGAAACCAGGAGGCGGAGGUUGCAGUGAGCUGAGAUUGCACCACUGCACUCUAGCCUGGGCAACGGAGCAAGACUCUGUCUCAAAAAANNNNNNNNNNUUUUUUGAGACAGAGUCUUGCUCCGUUGCCCAGGCUAGAGUGCAGUGGUGCAAUCUCAGCUCACUGCAACCUCCGCCUCCUGGUUUCAAGCAAUUCUCCUGCCUCAU